rnacentral:rRNA from 1 species
GACGAACGCUGGCGGCGUGCUUAACACAUGCAAGUCGAACGGAAAGGCCCUGCUUUUGUGGGGUGCUCGAGUGGCGAACGGGUGAGUAACACGUGAGUAACCUGCCCUUGACUUUGGGAUAACUUCAGGAAACUGGGGCUAAUACCGGAUAGGAGCUCCUGCUGCUUGGUGGGGGUUGGAAAGUUUCGGCGGUUGGGGAUGGACUCGCGGCUUAUCAGCUUGUUGGUGGGGUAGUGGCUUACCAAGGCUUUGACGGGUAGCCGGCCUGAGAGGGUGACCGGCCACAUUGGGACUGAGAUACGGCCCAGACUCCUACGGGAGGCAGCAGUGGGGAAUAUUGCACAAUGGGCUGGAGGCUGAUGCAGCAACGCCGCGUGCGGGAUGACGGGCUUCGGGUUGUAAACCGCUUUCGUCUGUGACGAGGCGUGAGUGACGGUAAUGGGUAAAGAAGCACCGGCUAACUACGUG